rnacentral:rRNA from 1 species
AACGAACGCUGGCGGCAUGCCUAACACAUGCAAGUCGAACGAGACCUUCGGGUCUAGUGGCGCACGGGUGCGUAACGCGUGGGAAUCUGCCCUGGGGUGCGGAAUAACUCGGAGAAAUCCGUGCUAAUACCGCAUAAUGUCUUCGGACCAAAGAUUUAUCGCCCUGGGAUGAGCCCGCGUAGGAUUAGCUAGUUGGUGGGUAAAGCCUACCAAGGCGACGAUCCUUAGCUGGUCUGAGAGGAUGAUCAGCCACACUGGGACUGAGACACGGCCCAGACUCCUACGGGAGGCAGCAGUGGGAAUAUUGGACAAUGGGCGAAAGCCUGAUCCAGCAAUGCCGCGUGAGUGAUGAAGGCCUUAGGGUUGUAAAGCUCUUUUACCAGGGAUGAUAAUGACAGUACCUGGAGAAUAAGCUCCGGCUAACUCCGUGCCAGCAGCCGCGGUAA